GGGCGCUGUUCUUGGAACGUGUGGAUGUCAUGGUUGUGAGGGACGCGACGAUCGGUGCGCACUAAAUUUGGAGUUUAACUUCGAGAAAAAAGGUGCCAGAAUGUGGUAUUGACAUAGAUGGCUGGAGAAUGUUACAGUGACUCCAGGCAGUAUGGAGAUAUUUUGUAGCCUGAGUUUGAAUUGCCCAACAAAAGGAUGAAGAUGGCAACUUCAGUUUCAAGCUCUGCAACAGGAGAGUGUCCGACUUGAAGGAGAAAGUCCUUUCAUUUUCCCGAAUGUAAAACUGACAUCCUCUAUUGCCAUGGAGACAGCCGCGCUUGCAAAGGUUACCAACCAAAUUCCAAGUCGGGAAAGGAAAGUGUUCAAGGGGUGAGAUUUCUUAGCUUUUUAGCUGAUUUCAG